GGGCAAUUAGUUUAGUGGUAUAACGUCCGUUUUGCAAGUCAUAAACUACGGAAGGUCGUGAUUUCGAUUAUCACAUUGUCCA
rfam:Arthroderma gypseum CBS 118893 supercont1.1 genomic scaffold, whole genome shotgun sequence.